AACGCACAUUGCGCCUGCUAGCAUUCUAGCAGGCAUGCCUGUCCGAGCGUCAUUUCAACCCUCAAGCCCUGUUGUGGCAUGGUAUUGGAGCACCUCUAGCCUUAGUGCUUACAGGGCUUUGAAACUUAGUGGCGGGCCCAUCAGGUCUCUAAGCGUAGUAAUAUUUUCUCGUUUCUAGAGGUUCUAGUGGGUUUCUCUAGCCGUUAAACUCCAACUAUAUAAGAACUAGUUUGACCUCGGAUCAGGUAGGAAUACCCGCUGAACUUAA
rnacentral:misc_RNA from 1 species